CUCAGGAUGAACGCUAGCGGCAGGCUUAACACAUGCAAGUCGAGGGGUAUAGUCUUCGGAACUAGAGACCGGCGCACGGGUGCGUAACGCGUAUGCAAUCUACCUUUUACAGAGGGAUAGCCCAGNGAAAAUUUGGAUUAAUACCUCAUAGUAUGUGAGAAUCGCAUGGUUUUCAUAUUAAAGUUCCAACGGUAAAAGAUGAGCAUGCGUCCCAUUAGCUAGAUGGUAAGGUAACGGCUUACCAUGGCGACGAUGGGUAGGGGUCCUGAGAGGGAGAUCCCCCACACUGGGACUGAGACACGGCCCAGACUCCUACGGGAGGCAGCAGUGGGGAAUUUUGGACAAUGGACGCAAGUCUGAUCCAGCAAUGCCGCGUGCAGGACGAAGGCCUUCGGGUUGUAAACUGCUUUUGUACAGAACGAAAAGGCUCUGGUUAAUACCUGGGGCUCAUGACGGUACUGUAAGAAUAAGCACCGGCUAACUACGUG
rnacentral:rRNA from 1 species